GCCAGGUGCGGUAGCAUGUGCCUGUAGUCCCAGUUACUCGGGAGGCUGAGGUGGGAGAGGAUUGCUUGAGCCCAGGAGUUCUGGGCUGUAGUGCGCUAUGCCGAUUGGGUGUCCGCACUAAGUUCGGCAUCAAUAUGGUGACCUCCUGGGAGCAGAGGGACCACCAGGUUGCCUAAGGACGGGUGAACCCGCCCAGGUAGGAAACGGAGAAGGUCAAAACUCUGUGCUGAUCAGUAGUGUUAUGGCACCUGUGAAUAGCCACUGCAUUCCAGCCUGGGCAACAUAACGAGACCCCGUCUCUA
ensembl:misc_RNA Metazoa_SRP Metazoan signal recognition particle RNA